rnacentral:lncRNA from 12 species
UGGUAAAGUCUUCCUUUUUCUGAAAAUCUGAGUGGCCACCUGCCAUCAGGUCUUCCCUGGGUGCUAUGUUCCUAAGAGCAACUUCUCUAAAGAAGUCCCUGCCCCUCCUGUUCUUAGCCCUGGCUGUUUCUGGCAGCCUGUGAACCUUCUGAGCCAGCUACCUGCCCAGUAUGGAGCUUUCCAAGGAUGCCCUAGGGGGCUGAAGCUGAAAGCCAGAGGGGCUUGGAAUUCAUACCGAGAAGACUGGGGAGCCCAGCCACACGAGCGGGAGGCCUGAAAGAACCAGGAGCCUACAGCUGUCUGUCCUGUCCAUCCGUCCAUCUGUCCAUUCGUCUAUCCAUUCUCCAUCUACUUAUUAAUCUAGUCAAUCAGUGUAUGUCAUGGGCCAGGCUGUCUUCUAGGUCCUGAGAAUACGGCUGUGAACAUGAUGGAAAAGGCCUCUGACCCCGUGGGAACUGCUUUUGAAUGAUCCCAGAGACAAGCCAAAACACUAAUUG